AUGGCUUGGACUCCUCUCCUCCUUACACUCCUGUCUCACUGCACAGGUUCCCUGUCCCAGCCUGUGGCGACUCAGCCACCCUCCCUCUCUGCAUCUCCAGGAACAACAGCCAGGCUCACCUGCACCCUGAGCAGUGGCUUCAAUGUGGGAAGCUAUUCCAUAUACUGGUACCAGCAGAAGCCAGGGAGCCCUCCCUGGUAUCUCUUGUAUUACUACUCAGACUCAAGUACACAGUUGGGAUCUGGGGUCCAAAGAUGCCUUGGCCAAUGCAGAGCUUCUGCUCAUCUCUGGGCUGCAGCCUGAGGAUGAGGAUGACUACUACUGUGCUAUAUAUCCUGGCAGUGGGGGCAACUAUCAUUAUUCACAGUGUCUCAGAUAA